GAAGCUACACACAUAUUGCACAAAACUAAGCUAACGCUAUUGGUGCAUGGCGGAAAGCAGCUGUAACCUUGCUGUGAGGGAGCAGCCUGGCUCCUGCAAGCUCACUGCAGGCACAUCUGGACCACAGCUGUUCCACAUCUUCAGCUUCAUCCCUGGAGAAGCAGCACAGGGAGCAAUUGCAUUGAAGAGGUUGUUCAGCAAAAACAUAUUGACAUGGUCUGUCAUCUGCAGGCAAGCAGAGUGCUGACCCAGGCGUCAGAGUCACCUUUGAGGCAGGGAGAUUUAAAGUCUUCUGUGCAAGAAGAAGAGGGGAGCAAUUUUCAGAUUGCUUAAACAGAAGAAGAGAAUGGUUGAUAAGGGGAGGCAUGGCUGCAUUGGGUCCUUUCAGAUGCUUUGAAACUGCUUUUGAGGAAAAAAUACCUGAUUAAAAAUGGUGUUUUAUUAUAGGAUUCACUACUGAAUUGUGGUUUUUUUUGUUUUGUUUUGUUUUUUUUGUUUUCUUUCUGGAGUGUUCUCUAUUUUUCCAUUUUAGUUUUAUUGAGUCUGGAAUCUGUCAUGUAGUUACAAACUUAACCAACCUUUAAAAAGCUGGUUAAACUGAAGAGGGGAAAAAAGUCAAUACUUGCUCUCAGCUAUACAUUUAUUUAAAAAAACAAAGCACCAAAAUCUAUUACCCUUGCUUAUUUCACUUUGGCUUCCUGAGCUCAGUGCCUUAUUCUGGGACAAUGCUGCUAUUUUGAGCUUCUAAGCCCUUCUUCUGUUGUUUGAGUGCAAUGUGGACCAUGAAACAGUGCUGGGCAAGUAGUUCUAUUGGUUAUAGAGUACCCUGUAACAGCUCACUGUCUCUGUGGUCAGGCUGCUGUUGGUUGGGUUUAUCUGUUGUCUGCUGGGUACAGAAU
rnacentral:lncRNA from 1 species